rnacentral:rRNA from 1 species
UUGACCGCUGGCGGCAUGCUUUACACAUGCAAGUCGAACGGUAACAGGCCGCAAGGUGCUGACGAGUGGCGAACGGGUGAGUAAUGCAUCGGAACGUGCCCAGUCGUGGGGGAUAACUACUCGAAAGAGUAGCUAAUACCGCAUACGAUCUAUGGAUGAAAGCGGGGGACCGUAAGGCCUCGCGCGAUUGGAGCGGCCGAUGUCAGAUUAGGUAGUUGGUGGGGUAAAGGCUCACCAAGCCAACGAUCUGUAGCUGGUCUGAGAGGACGACCAGCCACACUGGGACUGAGACACGGCCCAGACUCCUACGGGAGGCAGCAGUGGGGAAUUUUGGACAAUGGGCGCAAGCCUGAUCCAGCAAUGCCGCGUGCAGGAAGAAGGCCUUCGGGUUGUAAACUGCUUUUGUACGGAACGAAACGGCUCUGGUUAAUACCCGGGGCUAAUGACGGUACCGUAAGAAUAAGCACCGGCUAACUACGUG